GGGGAUAUAGCUCAGUUGGUAGAGCGCCGCCCUUGCAAUGGCGGAUGCCAGCGGUUCGAGUCCGCUUAUCUCCA
rnacentral:tRNA from 1 species